rnacentral:lncRNA from 1 species
AUUUACGACACUUCAGCUUAUUCUCUUAUUUUGAGCAGUACUCUGUAUUCAUGUAUAUGCAUAUGACCCGACAGUUCGCAGACUAAACUUUCGACUUAUCGAUAUCACUCCUCAACAUUGCCUUCCUUUAUUCAUGCAUGCAGAUUUAACUGAGUUGUUUAUCCGGACACCUCAAACACUGGACUGAAAACAAGCAAUACGUAAAUUAAAAAAGUAUCUUUAUCAAAUCAGCUAAGAAUAUCAAGUAUUCAGAGAAAUCGAAAAGCACGAAUGAUUUAAGCAUGAAGAAAUUGCAGUAUAGUCCAACAUGAAAUAGAAUUAAACAGUGCUUUAAGAAUCAUUGCUUUCAUGGUUAUUAUCCACUACCUGAUUUGAAAUAGCGUCUCGGUGACAAACCAUCAAACAGGUUGCAGG